AUGGACUGGUUUCCCUGGAAAGAAAACUGAGUUUGUGUUCUAUAGUACAAAAGUUAUGAGACACGAAUCAGACAAAUGUUCACUACAACAGGGAUCAAAGAUGAGGUCUGACUGACUUGCCCAUAGUAAAUGUAAAUGAUUUGUUAUUUUUGUCCCAUACAUAUGAAUAUAUAUAAUUUAGGGGUGGGGAUCUCAACGGUUUUCAAGUUCUCAAACAGGUAGGGGUAGGCAGAGGAUUUAGGGGGCAGGGGGCCCGGCCCCCCCUUUUUGGGAAAAAAUUUGGUUGCUUAUAUAGGGAAUCACUGAAGCGUGACUGGAGCGGGCCCCUCUUAGGUCAGUCAGUGGGCCCCACUUAUGAAAAUUUCUGGAUCCGCCACUGGGGGUAGGGUGACCCUAGGGACUUCCCCUACAUUUCAUUUUAUUUGUUAUAUUUGUCCCAUACAUGAAUAUAUAUGGUUUAGGGGUGGGGAUCUCAUUGGUUUCCAAGUUCUCAAACAGGAAGGGUAGGGUGACCCAAGGGACUCCCCCUAUAUUUCAUUUAAUUAGUUAUAUUGAUCCAUACAUGAAUAUAUAUUGUUUUGGUGUGGGGAUCUCGACCGUUUCCAAGUUCUCAAACAGGAGGGUUGGGAUGACCACAGGGACUUCCCUUAUAUUUCAUUUGAUUUGUUAUAUUGUCCCAUACAUGAGUAUAUAUGGUUUAGGGGUAAGGAUCUUGACCAUUUCCAAGUUCUCAAACAGGAGGGUGAACAGUGACCUCAGGGACUCCCCCUAUCUUUCAUCUGAUUUGUUAUAUUGUCCCAUACAUGAAUAUAUAUGGUUUAGGGAUGGGGAUCUCGACCAUUUUUAAAUUCUAAAACAGGAGGGGUGGGGUGACCCCUAGCGACUCUUCCUAUAUUUCAUUUGAUUUUUCAUAUUGUCACAAACAUGAAUAUAUAUGGUUAAGGGGUGUGGAUCUCGACCGUUUCCAAGUUCUCAAACAGGAGGGGGUGGGGUAACUCCAGGGACUCCCCCUAUAUUUCAUUUUUUAUUUAUUAUAUUGUCCUAUACUUGAAUAUAUGCAGGGGCGGAUUCAGACGGGGAGGGUUGCGGCUUGCACCCCCCUUAAAUUUGCAAAGCAUGGGUUGUUCUCAGCUUAAUAAAGAAAAUUCCGAUAAUUUUACCUCAAUUUUUUUUAGCCUCGCUCUGC
rnacentral:lncRNA from 1 species